rnacentral:rRNA from 1 species
CCUACGGGAGGCAGCAGUGGGGAAUAUUGGGCAAUGGAGGAAACUCUGACCCAGCAACGCCGCGUGAAUGAUGAAGGCCUUCGGAAUGGAAAGCUCUUUUCAAAGGGAAGAAGAAAGUGACGGUACCUUAGGAAUGAGCGUCGGCUAACUACGUGCCAGCAGCCGCGGUAAUACGUAGGGGGCGAGCGUUAGCCGGAUUGACUGGGUGUAAGGGGUGCGUAGGUGGUUCGGCAAGUUAGUAGCGUAACUCUGAGGCUCAACCAUGGGACUACGACUAGAACUGGUGGGCUUGAGUGCAGGAGAGGCAAGCGGAAUUCGUAGUGUAGCGGUGAAAUGCGUAGAUAUUAGGAGGAACACCAGUGGCGAAGGCGGGUUGCCGGACUGUAACUGACGCUGAGGCUCGAAAGCGUGGGGAGCGAACAGGAUUAGAUACCCGGGUAGUC